rfam:Gossypium hirsutum cultivar TM-1 chromosome 22, whole genome shotgun sequence
AACCCAUGAUGAGGGCACCUUCUUAGAAGAUCCUUAAAUCUCCCUCAUGCAUCAAAUAGUGUCUCAAGUUUUUGGGAAAACGAAGAGAUGUUGUUCCUUAACUU